AAAAGUCCAGGCAACCCGAGCCCAUGAGAAGAUUUUAAACUACUGAUGUGCCCUUUCCUGCAUCACCUCGCCCUGCACCCCUGAACAACACAAUGCCUUCCACAAAGACAGUGCUCAUAGGUGUGUUUGUAACAUGAAUCUCUAUUAUUUAUUGAGUACUUUGUACCUGCCUCACACAAUGGAAAAUAGUAUAUUAUUCUCACUUCACAGAUAGGACAAAUCAAGUGAGAUCGAUUUGGCAAAUAACCAAGAUCCCAGAGCUGGUAGAUGGAGGAGCCAGGAUUUGGACUCCAAUCGAUCUGCGUCAGAGCCCACAGACUGAUGACCAGGAAAGUGAUGCAUCUAGUCCCAAAUCGUCAUCUACUGUGGUACCUACCCAAAAUAAGGCUUGGAAAACCUUGACUGGGCUGAAAACAACUAAACCAGCCAAAAUCACACUCCAGAAGAACCACGGCAACCAGCUCUUCUCAAAACUAACCAAGUCCUCAAAAACAAGGCAAAUCUGAGACAAUGGCAUAGCCAAGAGAGGCCUGGGAGAAGAUGACAGCUACCCGUAAUGUGGCAUCCUGGGUGGGACCCUGGACCAGUAAAGAAUGUCAGUAAAAGACUCGGAAUCUGUGUGGGCUUCCAACCACUAGAACGGUAUCACUGUCAGCUCACUAACUGUACCAAGUGCAGUGUACUGACCUAAAUCGAGAGGCUACCAAGAGGGCAGGCUGGGUGCAGGGUAUAUGGGAACUCUCCGCACUGCAUUUACAAUUUUUCUAUAAACUCAAAGCCCAUUCUAAAAGUAAAAUGUAUUAUAAAAUAUGUACUCAGUAAUAUUACUGAAUUUUACAGCUCUGAUUACUUUUUCACAUUUAGAUUUGUCUUAGCUUGAACUGCUUUAACACAACACCACAGACUGGGGGCUUUAGCAGUGAUACUUAUCUCACAAUUCUGGAGCUGAAGUCAGAGACUGAGCUGCUCAGUAGGGGCCAUCUCCCUGGCAGGCAGACACCCCACCUUCCUACCCUAACCCACCUUGGCUCCCAGAGCCAUGCUCUAGAAUGGUGGUUGAGGUUGGGAGAACAGGGUGUGGGGACUAAAGGCUCAGGCAGGUGACAUGCAAUUGCUCUCAAGGUCUACUGGACCACAUGGUACCCGUAAUAUGCACUCUCAACUGCACUUAGGCAUCUGGUAGUGCUCAGGUUGGGCACCCUUACCACCAAGAGCAGACAAGAACACAGGUGCACAAAGAAGCUUCUGGGGCAAUGGAGCAUUUGGAACAUGACUGUGG
rnacentral:lncRNA from 1 species